rnacentral:rRNA from 1 species
CCAGACUCCUACGGGAGGCAGCAGUGAGGAAUAUUGGUCAAUGGGCGCGAGCCUGAACCAGCCAAGUAGCGUGAAGGAUGACUGCCCUACGGGUUGUAAACUUCUUUUAUAAAGGAAUAAAGUGAGGCACGUGUGCCUUUUUGUAUGUACUUUAUGAAUAAGGAUCGGCUAACUCCGUGCCAGCAGCCGCGGUAAUACGGAGGAUCCGAGCGUUAUCCGGAUUUAUUGGGUUUAAAGGGUGCGUAGGCGGAAUGCCAAGUCAGGGGUAAAACCGCGGGGCUCAACCUCGCUCCGCCGUUGAAACUGGCAGUCUCGAGUUGGAGAGAAGUAUGCGGAAUGCGCGGUGUAGCGGUGAAAUGCAUAGAUAUCGCGCAGAACUCCGAUUGCGAAGGCAGCAUGCCGGCUCCACACUGACGCUGAGGCACGAAAGCGUGGGUAUCGAACAGGAUUAGAUACCCGCGUA